CUUUUCGGCUCGUGCCGGGCUCGGAACGAAACUCCUUAAUCCGUGUUAACGAACUUAAAUAGUCUUUUUGGUGCUUGGAUUCGGUUUGCACUGGGAAAUAUGGAAAGUUACUCAGGAACAUGGUCCUUUUCCUGUGACAAAGACCUAGUCACCAAAAUGUACCUGCUAUAAAACAUCACAGAUACAGUCAUGGAAAACUCAUUCCAUUGCAACAGCAUCACUCAGGCUUGCUGAUGAAACCCAACUAUCACUGGCUCAGACUGCAGGAUCCUGGGCCAAGAAGGCAAAGCUGAUCUUUACUGCUGAUUUUUAAUUCAAUAAUUAUUUCUGAAACCUACUGGAAAGCACAGACUGGGUUUCUGUACUGAACAUGAAUGACUAUUUAUUAAAAAAUUACGCACCAGCUACAGAUGCACCAUUUGAUCACAUCCCACAUGAAUACCAUGGAAGGGCUCUCGGCUUUCCCAAAAGACAAGCUCUUUCACACAGCUGAAAUUGUCGUGCUUGCCAGCAGGAAUUCUUCAGCAUUCAGAAUUUUGCAGAAAUCAUUUUCCGCCAAGAAGCUUUUGCUUUGAUAAUCCUUGCAACAUCUAGUGGACGAGAUCGGAUUUUUCAGCAGAAGGCUCUCUGGCAAAGCUCAUUGUCUCAAUGAACAGCCCCUUUGUCAGCAGAGAAUGUGGGUGCAGUAACAUGUGAAUAAGGAAAGUAAGAAGAUUCUUUCAACAGAUCUAGUGAUAGGGACCUUUUUUCUCAGACUGGGUGCUUAGUAUCUGCCUUUAGCAUCAAGUACAUAAUGAAGUGUGUCUUCAAGUUGCUUUUGCUUUUGACUAGCCAGCUAAAUUUGCUAUUGGUUGCCAAUCAUUAGUUUAACAAUUUUAAAAAUACAUUUGCAAUACUCAAGUAAUAACUUGUGAAAAAGAGGUGUGUUUUUUGUG